UGCAAAAUUAUGAUUCAUGAUGGCCUUCUA
rnacentral:piRNA from 1 species